GUAACGCGUGAGCAACCUGCCUUUUACAGGGGGAUAACGUGCCGAAAGGCACACUAAUACCGCAUGAGACCACAAGCAUACAUAUGGAAGGGGUCAAAGGAGAAAUCCGGUAAGAGAUGGGCUCGCGUCCGAUUAGAUAGUUGGUGAGGUAACGGCUCACCAAGUCAACGAUCGGUAGCCGACCUGAGAGGGUGAUCGGCCACAUUGGAACUGAGAGACGGUCCAAACUCCUACGGGAGGCAGCAGUGGGGAAUAUUGGGCAAUGGGGGAAACCCUGACCCAGCGACGCCGCGUGAAGGAAGAAGGUCUUCGGAUUGUAAACUUCUGUUCUUGGUGAAGAGGAAAGACGUGCCAGAGAG
rnacentral:rRNA from 1 species